UCUGUACAAACGUAGAUUCAAGAAAGUGAAACUAAUCCCAACCAACUGUGUGCUCAAAACCUAUAACAAGCAGCCCUUAAAACUGAAAGGGAGCAUUUCUGUUACUGCAAAAUGUAAUGGAGUGUCAUUUGUUCUUCUAAUACUGGUUGUUCAAGGGAAUGGUCCAGCCUUAUUGGGAAGAGAUUGGUUGCAAAAAUUAAAACUAAACUGUCUUAGUAAACAAGGUUGCAUGUGUGGGGGUGCAAGAUCUAUGUAAUAAAUACUCAAUGGUUUUUCAGCCUAGGUUAAGUGGAGGGACUUAAAGCUAAGCUUCAUGUGGUGCCUGGUGCUGUUCCUAAAUUUUGUAAACCGCGAUCUGUGCCUUAUGCACUCCGAGAUGCAGUGGAAGCUCAGUUAAAUAAAAUAGAAGCUGACGGCGUUCUUACACCUGCAAAUUAGAGUGAAUGGGCUGCCCCUACAGUUAACAUCCCAAAGAUGGAUCAAACAGUGAGGAUAUGCAGGGACUAUAAAGUGUCUAUCAACCCAUGGCUUGAGAUAGAUCAGUACCCCAUUCUGAAGACUUAAGACUUGUUCACCAAACUAGCCGGAGGUGAACGAUUUUCCAAACUGGACUUUUCGCAAGCUUACCAGCAGGUGGAGCUGGAUGAGGGUUCAGAACAAUUCCUCACAAUCAAUACACAUAAGGGAUUAUAUCAAGUAAACAGACUUCCUUAUGGUGUUGCUAGUGCAUCUGCCAUUUUCCAAAAGUCGAUGAAUCAAGUGUUGCAGGGAAUCGAUGGUGUCAUCUGUUAUCUAGAUCAGUGGUCCCCAACCUUUUUGGGGCUGUGGACCGGUCAGCCAGUGUGGAGUUAUUCCGCGGCCCGGGGGGGUGUACAGUCAAAGUACACAAGUCUUUGUGAGGUAAUAGAGGGUGACCUGUACAACAAGGAUAUAGUAUCCAAGCCCUGGAAUUAUGGACCAAAAUCUAUUUAUUUACAUUCAAAGAUGACCAUCGUAACAUAUUUCUCGUCAAAAAUGCAAAGUUUAACUACUAUUUUUCAAAAACUAUACAGUGAAAGUACAAAAGUCUCCUUGAGGUUAAAGAGGGUGACCUGUAGAACAAGCAUUUUCUGUCCAAGGCCUGGAAUUAUGGACUCAUUUAUUUUUUAAAUGACUUUAUUUAACUUCAUUAUUGAAAACUCUAAACAUUUCUUUUUAGAAAGGACAUAAUAAAUAACAGAUUAUUAGUACAAAUAUCCACUGAUAGAAUACGUAGUUUUGUUUUAGAAUUUUAUUUCUCUUUUUCAUUUUACUCCGAGCACAUCUGACGUUCUAAUGCUCCAACAGAAAGCUCUUCAACCGAGUUUCAUGCUCUGCUGUAAACCGUGUAAUACGGGCGCAUUACUUUUUUGUAGCGCGGCUGGCUUGAUCGCGGCUGAGCGAACAGCGGCUCACUUGACCGCAGUUGUUUUCCGUCUGUUCUUCUGUUGCUGCACUAAUCCCAUCCAUUCGCGGAGAAAGGUUUACACAUGCAACUUUUCUCGUGUUACACGCCGCUGGACUGCAUUAAGGAGGAGAGAAGUGGUUGGAUAUUGUAAUAAAUACAGUUUUGGGUCCUGUGACACAUCUGGUGACUGUAAAUGGGAAAUGUAUAAAAAGACAUGUAAACCAAAUGCUGGAGGCCAAACAAAACAGUGAAACAUCAGAAGAAGCGGAAACUCAACCGUACUGGGACUACCCUAUUGACCCAGGAGAAGUCCUCCUGUUCAUCCUCCUGACCGAUUAAACCUGUAAUGUUUUACCUGCUGUUAAAUGUUGUAAGUAGCAAUGUUGUAGGGUUACGUAAACCACUGACUGCAUUUUGUGCUCUGCAUUUAUAUGGUUCUGUAAAAAAAAAAAAAAA